UACGGAGGGUGCAAACGUUGCUCGGAAUCAUUGGGCGUAAAGCGUGCGCAGGCGGUUUUGUAAGUCUGUCGUGAAAGCCCCGGGCUCAACCUGGGAAUUGCGAUGGAGACUGCAAGGCUUGAAUCUGGCAGAGGGGGGUAGAAUUCCACGUGUAGCAGGUGAAAUGCGUAGAGAUGUGGAGGAACACCGAUGGCGAAGGCAGCCCCCUGGGUCAAGAUUGACGCUCGAUGCCACGAAAGCGUGGGGAGCAAACAGG
rnacentral:rRNA from 1 species